GGUACCCUUGGUCCCUUGAUUUCAUUUGCACUGAGCAGUCUGCUCUGCCUUCAAACUGCCCUAACCUAGUGGGACUUUGGUAAUCGGAGUCCUGUAACUGACGUGUGGUUUGCAUUAAAUAUCUGCUUCCCUUAAUGCUCAGGACACUCUGCUGUAGGAUGAGGUUUGCAUAGAUACAUGUAGGGAAGAAAAAAAGAUUAGCCUGCUAACGGCAGAAGCCCUCUCUGCUUUCAGGUCCCCUUUGGCUUGAUGACUAUGCUGGAUGUUGUGGUAUUUUCUGCCCUGUGCCAGUAUCUCUGAAAGCUUGCCUGAACAUCUCUGUGUCUUACCAGGUGCCAUUAGUAGUUUAAAUCAACCUGAAUGUGUGUCCUGUUCAGAGUGCAAUGUGUUGUUUCUCACAGCUGAGCAGCACUCUGCCUUCCCAGCAGCAGUUCACCGCAGAGCACGUUGCUCAUUCCUGGCUCCAGCUCUGAGCUAAGCUGGUAGCCCAGGUUGAGGAGGUCAAACCUGCUGUCUGAUAACAGAUGAAGGUGAGAUGUGAUGGCCCAGCCCCUGGCACCAUAUCUGGGUGUUGAGGCAAUGCCAGCACCAUUUGGCUGCUCCUUCAGGCUGUGCUGCUGCCCUCUUCUAGGGGCAGGCAUUGCCUUCAGCUCCUUUCUGCACACAGGAAACAGGGUGGAGAGCUUUGGUUUUAUUUUAUGUCUUUAUCUGUAAGGAAAACAAAUUUGUUAUCUGUAGUGAGGAGCAAAGGGUCAUCUUGUUCAAAGCCUUUGCUUUUCAAGUGUUUUUCUAGCACUAUUAUAUUCCAAAGUAACAAGCAAGCAGUACUGCUUGGUGGAGUUCACAGAGCCUCAGUUCUUAAUGCCCUGAGCACACUGCUAAAUCAAGACAGAAAUUGAUUUGAGACUGUUUGAAGAUGACAGCUCUGGAUUAAGCUUAAUUGACCAUCAUGAUUUUACAUCGACUCAGAUGAGCCAAGGCGCAAGUGGUGCCCUGGCUGGCUGGGGCUGUUGGUCGCAUGAUGAUGACAGAGGACAAAUUCGUCUCCAGAACUCACCUGGCAGCCAGCUUCCCCGUGUCCUUGCUGGAGAAGAGCUGGCAGGACGUGUGCUGUGUAUCGAUAAAACCAGAGGGAAACCCUGGGACCUCUCCGACCAGAGCUCAGCAGCAGCCAGUGCCUGUCUGAGCGGCUUUCUCCCCGAGCCGAGAAGUGGAUAAUCCAGAUGACCGCCGUCCCCGCCGUCUGAGCGCAGCUUCGGGAGGAGCCCCGGGGAGAUGCCGGGGCCGUGAGCUCCUGCGGGACCCCUCCGGAGGAGGCACGAGGGCUGAACCCCGAGCCCCCAGCAGCCACUCAGCUCUCGGGGCUGGAGAUGUCCCAGCAAGGGUCUCGCUCUGCGUCAUCCUUCAGCAGGUCUGUGCGUGGGGCUGCUUGCGCUUGUUUAAGGCCCUAGAGCUUAACUGUGAUAGAGGCGCUCCCAGGUUGAAAUAUAAGAAUAAAUAAAAGUCCCUGGGUGCUUCUAGCA
rnacentral:lncRNA from 1 species